UACGUAGGGGGCAAGCGUUGUCCGGAAUCAUUGGGCGUAAAGAGCGUGUAGGCGGUCCGGUCAGUCGGUUGUGAAAGUCAAGGGCUCAACCCUUGAAUGCCGGCCGAUACUGCCGGGCUAGAGUCCGGAAGAGGUGAGUGGAAUUCCUGGUGUAGCGGUGAAAUGCGCAGAUAUCAGGAGGAACACCGAUGGCGAAGGCAGCUCACUGGGACGGUACUGACGCUGAGGAGCGAAAGCGUGGGGAGCGAACAGG
rnacentral:rRNA from 1 species